rnacentral:misc_RNA from 1 species
UACGUAGGGUGCUAGCGUUGUUCGGAAUCAUUGGGCGUAAAGCGCGUGUAGGCGGUUUGUUAAGUCGGAUGUGAAAUCCCUCGGCUCAACCGAGGAAGUGCAUCCGAAACUAACUGGCUAGAAGAUGGCAGAGGAAGGUGGAAUUCCAAGUGUAGAGGUGAAAUUCGUAGAUAUUUGGAGGAAUACCGGCGGCGAAGGCGGCCUUCUGGACCAUUCUUGACGCUGAGACGCGAAAGCGUGGGGAGCAAACAGG